rnacentral:rRNA from 1 species
GAUGAACGCUGGCGGCGUGCCUAAUACAUGCAAGUCGAGCGAACAGAUGAGGAGCUUGCUCCUCUGACGUUAGCGGCGGACGGGUGAGUAACACGUGGAUAACCUACCUAUAAGACUGGGAUAACUUCGGGAAACCGGAGCUAAUACCGGAUAAUAUAUUGAACCGCAUGGUUCAAUAUUGAAAGACGGUUUUGCUUUCACUUAUAGAUGGAUCCGCGCCGCAUUAGCUAGUUGGUAAGGUAACGGCUUACCAAGGCGACGAUGCGUAGCCGACCUGAGAGGGUGAUCGGCCACACUGGAACUGAGACACGGUCCAGACUCCUACGGGAGGCAGCAGUAGGGAAUCUUCCGCAAUGGGCGAAAGCCUGACGGAGCAACGCCGCGUGAGUGAUGAAGGUCUUCGGAUCGUAAAACUCUGUUAUUAGGGAAGAACAAAUGUGUAAGUAACUAUGCACGUCUUGACGGUACCUAAUCAGAAAGCCACGGCUAACUACGUG